UACGGAGGGUGCAAGCGUUGUCCGGAAUCACUGGGCGUAAAGGGCGCGUAGGUGGCCGAGCAAGGUCGCGGUGAAAGCCCGGGGCUCAACCCCGGGUCGGCCGUGGCAACUACUUGGCUUGAGCACUGUAGGGGCGGGUGGAAUUCCGGGUGUAGCGGUGGAAUGCGUAGAGAUCCGGAAGAACACCGGUGGCGAAGGCGGCCCGCUGGGCAGGAAGGCUCGCAAGAGCCGGCUGACACUGAGGCGCGACAGCGUGGGGAGCAAACAGG
rnacentral:rRNA from 1 species